CGGCGGUUUGAUGUGACUUUGGAUUCGAUGUCGACGCCUAGUGGUUUUCCGGUGGCGUUUUGUUUGAGUUGAAAUCAUGAUAGUGGCCACCAGAGUACUUCGAAACCGUGGCUCCGAACUGAAAUUGAUUUUUUUGACUCUUGCCAUUAUUUAUGUCACCAUUCCGUUUGCCUUCAAAAUGUGACCUGUUACAGUGACAAAAAUCGUAUAUCUUAAUUUUUUGCGACGUCCAUUUAUUGAUUUUAAGCAGCCUGCAAACUAUUUACUGAACCACACUCUCUAAAUUUAUACCUCACUCCAGAAGGAGUUACAUUUGGGGUUUGGAAGCCCAGCUGAUGCUAUCAUACUGGAAGUUCCAUUUACCUCUAUGCGAGAAGAAGUAGCGCAUCAUCCAUUUGCAGUG